UACAGGCUGAUAGGAUAUUUCCCCACCGGU
rnacentral:piRNA from 1 species